GGUGUGAACACCACUGGCUACACUUUAAAACAAGGGGCUUAUCAACCAAGAUAAAGGAAAGAGGUGUCCCAUGAAGUUUCGCACAUCUGUGAUCAGUCAGACGCAUCUGUUGUUGUCUAAUGCAGAUGUGAAUAACGUGGGUCCACCAUGGCCCAAACUGAUACGUCUCUCACCUGAGGAGGUAAAGAUGCAUCGGGGACAAGGGUGUAGUUUGUGGUGAGUUCGGUGUCCUUCUGCUGGUUGGAUGAGGUACUGGUGCCGCUGUUGCCAUUUCCCAGCAGAGGCCUCUGUUCAUCGGAGCCCUCUUCCUCCACAUCUGAGCUGCGGGCCUCAGGGUCACCGGCUGAGGCCUUGGUCACCAGAACGAGGAUGAAGAUGAUGACUGUGGUGAGGAUGAUGGAGACCAGGCUGACAGAGAGACAGAGGACCCAGAAGUCACCAACAGUGAUGAUAAGGCGGAGGGACGAGAACACAGCACACCACAACACUACAUACAGCAACUGGUGGAAGGAGAGGACAAGUUAAUGUUACAAGUGUGAUCUCUAAAGCUGUAAACCAUUGAAUAUAACAGUUUGGCUCCUUUUUCAAGCUCUCCAGUCACACGCUUGUUUCCUUUUUUCUCCAGUUCAUUGUUUCUUGUCCAUUUUUGGUUUCUGUUGGACUUUCUUGUGUAUGGACCCCUUGCCUGCAUUGGUUGCUUUUCUGAGUAUGAUUAAAGAAAAGUUGAAUUUCA